rnacentral:rRNA from 1 species
AUGCUACCCGCCGGGAAGACCACGCCGUCGUCAGGCGCCUCUCUCGUGCUGGCCGGCAACAAGGCCGCGUCGGCGUCGCCUUCGGUGGUCUCCGCCAAGCAAGCGCCGGCCGGCGGUCUGGUGCUUGCCGUGGACGGCAAGCGCUCGGUGGCCACGCUCGCUGCCGUCCAGGGACGCGGCCCCGCCUUCUCCGACGACGACCACAAGCCCAAGGGGUCCUCGGCGGAGAAGAUCAAGACCAUGGCUGCGGAAACGUCCGCUCUGCUGCGGGGCCUCUGCGUUCCAAAGCAGAGCAGCAUCGCCGAGCAGGUUUGCUUCACCAAAGAAGUCGAUGCCCUCCAGAAGGCGUGCGACGGGAUGGUCGAAGGAGCAUCCUUCGACGAAGAUGGGGCCAUCAACAUGCUGAUCGGCGUGCAUGCUCGUAUCCGUCUCCUGCUCACCUCUGACAACAAGCUGACCCCCCAGGAAUUCCUCCUCUCCUCCAUGGGUGAGAUCAAGGCCUCGGUGGAGGAGUACAUGUCUGCGGAGGACAAGAUCAUGGGUGAAGCUGAUCAGGGGAGGACCAGCCUGUACGAGAUGGUGAAGAAAUCCUCACUCGUCGAGCCCACGCCCACCGUGUGCUCGGACGAUGAGGUGAAGGCAGUGCUCUACAAGACUCUCACGCUCCUCGAAUCUUCUGACCCGGCGCACUCAACGACCGGCAUGGCCUGCCUGUUCUACAAGGUGCGUUCGAACUGCCGUGCUCUCAUGGAAGACGUCGAGAAGAACGGCGUCGACGGCAAGACCGGCUCCGCCAUCGCCAUGAUUCACAUCAGUGCGCUCUUCGUGCUGGGACAGCACAAGAAAUACUUCUCCUACGAUGAUGCAGCCGACGAUUCUCUCAUGGCCUCACUUCGAAGGCUCGAGGUUGCGCUGCGGGACUACGAGCUCGGAGGACCGUCGUCUCCACCUUCAGAGACCACAGACUAG